rnacentral:lncRNA from 1 species
CAGUUUCUGAAAAGAAGAAAACCCUUUUGUCUUCAGCAGAUCAGUAGAAUUACUUUGGGAGCGAGGAGAGUAUCGAGUGAUCUGGGCUGCUGAGGAGGAGCCUGAAGCCAUCUCUGAGUGGAGAUCUGGGAUUUGCAGGAGGAAAGGCUGAGUGUGUCCCCCCAUGUGGCAGAACUGCUCCUCCUUACCAGGGAACUCCAAGUGAAGGACAAAGGUCAAGGGCAGCUUUUACAUUCCACCCC